AACACACAGGGAUCUUGUUAAAAUGAAGAUUCUGAUUCAGUAGGUCUGGAAUGGAGCCCGAGAUUCUGCAUUUCUAACAAGCUCCCAGUACCGGUGCUGCUGA
rnacentral:pre_miRNA from 1 species